rnacentral:rRNA from 1 species
GACGAACGCUGGCGGCGUGCUUAACACAUGCAAGUCGAACGAAGUGGCGCACGGGUGAGUAAUACGUGCGUAAACUGCCCUCCUUUUUGGGAUAAGCCUUGGAAACGGGGUCUAAUACCGAAUACAGGGGGAUGGGCUCGCUGCCUAUCAGCUUGUUGGUGGGGUGAUGGCCUACAAAGGCGGUGCCGGGUAGCCGGCCUGAGAGGGUGCCUGUCCACCUUGGGAGUGGGACACGGCCCAGACGCGUACGGGAGGCGGCAGUGGUGGAUAUUGCACACGGGCCUAAAGCCUGAGGCAGCGCCGCAGCGUGGGGGAUGAAGGCUUUCGGGGUGUAUACCUCUGUCGCGAUCGAACGGGUAGGUGGAGAAGAAGCGCCGGCUAACUACGUGCCAGCAGCCGCGGUAAUUC